AUGCGAGUCGAGCGGCAGCGCGGUCUUCGGACUGGCGGYGAGCGGCCAACGGGUGAGUAAUACAUCGGAACAUGCCCAGGUCNUGGGGGAUAACACNUUCGAAAGAAGUGCUAAUACCGCAUACGUCCUGAGGGAGAAAGCGGGGGAUCGCAAGACCUCGCGCGAUUGGAGUGGCCGAUGUCAGAUUAGCUAGUUGGUGGGGUAAAGGCCUACCAAGGCAACGAUCUGUAGCUGGUCUGAGAGGAUGAUCAGCCACACUGGGACUGAGACACGGCCCAGACUCCUACGGGAGGCAGCAGUGGGGAAUUUUGGACAAUGGGGGCAACCCUGAUCCAGCCAUUCCGCGUGAGUGAAGAAGGCCUUCGGGUUGUAAAGCUCUUUCGGCAGGAACGAAACGGCGAGCUCUAACAUAGCUCGCUAAUGACGGUACCUGAAGAAGAAGCACCGGCUAACUACGUGCCAGCAGCCGCGGUAAUACGUAGGGUGCGAGCGUUAAUCGGAAUUACUGGGCGUAAAGCGUGCGCAGGCGGUUGUGUAAGACAGGUGUGAAAUCCCCGGGCUUAACCUGGGAACUGCGCUUGUGACUGCACGGCUAGAGUAUGGCAGAGGGGGGUGGAAUUCCACGUGUAGCAGUGAAAUGCGUAGAGAUGUGGAGGAACACCGAUGGCGAAGGCAGCCCCCUGGGCCAAUACUGACG
rnacentral:rRNA from 1 species